GUGGAUUAGAUACCCUGGUAGUCCACGCCCUAAACGAUGCGAACUGGAUGUUGUGGGCAACUAGGCCCUCAGUAUCGAAGCUAACGCGUUAAGUUCGCCGCCUGGGGAGUACGGUCGCAAGACUGAAACUCAAAGGAAUUGACGGGGGCCCGCACAAGCGGUGGAGUAUGUGGUUUAAUUCGAUGCAACGCGAAGAACCUUACCUGGCCUUGACAUGUCCGGAAUCCUGCAGAGAUGCGGGAGUGCCUUCGGGAAUCGGAACACAGGUGCUGCACGGUUGUCGCCAACU
rnacentral:rRNA from 1 species